GCUCUCUGGGUGGCGAGUGGCGGACGGGUGAGGAAUACAUCGGAAUCUACUUUUUCGUGGGGGAUAACGUAGGGAAACUUACGCUAAUACCGCAUACGACCUACGGGUGAAAGCAGGGGAUCUUCGGACCUUGCGCGAUUGAAUGAGCCGAUGUCGGAUUAGCUAGUUGGCGGGGUAAAGGCCCACCAAGGCGACGAUCCGUAGCUGGUCUGAGAGGAUGAUCAGCCACACUGGAACUGAGACACGGUCCAAACUCCUACGGGAGGCAGCAGUGGGGAAUAUUGGACAAUGGGCGCAAGCCUGAUCCAGCCAUACCGCGUGGGUGAAGAAGGCCUUCGGGUUGUAAAGCCCUUUUGUUGGGAAAGAAAUCCAGCUGGCUAAUACCCGGUUGGGAUGACGGUACCCAAAGAAUAAGCACCGGCUAACUUCGUGCCAGCAGCCGCGGUAAUACGAAGGGGCAAGCGUUACUCGGAAUUACUGGGCGUAAAGCGUGCGUAGGUGGUCGUUUAAGUCCGUUGUGAAAGCCCUGGGCUCACCUGGGAACUGCAGUGGAUACUGGGCGACUAGAGUGUGGUA
rnacentral:rRNA from 1 species